rnacentral:lncRNA from 1 species
CUGUGAAUUACCAGGAAAGAGCUCCAUUUUACUUUUUUUUUCUUUCUGGUCAAACAUUUUCUUCUUAAACUUUUUGGACUGCUACCUGUUUUCAAGCAGACGGCUAAUCCUGUAGGCAAAUGGACUGGGUUUUUCUUAGGCCUUGACAUCAUCUCUUGUCAACAAGCUUUUUCUUUUUUUAAAAAUUAGCCAGUUUUGUACAAAACCAAGAAAUACCAUGUCCAGCUGAGGGCUGGGGUGGUGGCAACAAAAUCAAGCUGAUGAAUUAAAGAAAUAUUGCCUGGUCAGGAUGCCUGGAGGCCUCAGAGUUCUGAUCUUUCUUCUGAGUGGCUUCUUCUUCUGGACGGCUCCCAGGGUGGUGUUUGUGAUAAGCUGGUUUGCCCAGUAAAACUGUCACCCAAUGAAGGAAAAUCCACAUUUUGGCUCUCACCGCGUCUAGGAUGCCUUCCCCGGAUGCUGCCACUUAUCCCUUGUCUCCCGCAAGCAGCCCAGUGCUGGCACUUUGUAGGUGUUUAUCGAGUCCCUGUGGCACUUACCUCUGGAAAUCCACAUCUGGCAUUUGAUGCUAUGCUGAAAUCAGCAAAUGCAGUCACAGACCAGCGCCAUGAUCUAACCAACCCAUUUUUCAGACAGGACGAU